GAAAGAAAUUCGGUGAAGGAUGGGCAUGCGUCGCAUUAGUUAGUUGGCGGUGUAACGGACCACCAAGACGACGAUGCGUAGGGGUUCUGAGAGGAAGGUCCCCCACACUGGUACUGAGACACGGACCAGACUCCUACGGGAGGCAGCAGUGAGGAAUAUUGGUCAAUGGCCGAGAGGCUGAACCAGCCAAGUCGCGUGAGGGAAGAAUGUCCUAUGGAUUGUAAACCUCUUUUGUCAGGGAGCAAAGUCACCCACGUGUGGGUGUUGGAGAGUACCUGAAGAAAAAGCAUCGGCUAACUCCGUGCCAGCAGCCGCGGUAAUACGGAGGAUGCGAGCGUUAUCCGGAUUUAUUGGGUUUAAAGGGUGCGUAGGCGGGUUAUCAAGUCAGCGGUAAAAUCGUGGAGCUCAACUCCAUCCAGCCGUUGAAACUGAUGAUCUUGAGUGGGCGAGAAGUAUGCGGAAUGCGUGGUGUAGCGGUGAAAUGCAUAGAUAUCACGCAGAACUCCGAUUGCGAAGGCAGCAUACCGGCGCCCGACUGACGCUGAAGCACGAAAGCGUGGGUAUCGAACAGGAUUAGAUACCCUGGUAGUCCACGCAGUAAACGAUGAAUACUAAUUGUGUGCUCCGAAUGAGGAGUGC
rnacentral:rRNA from 1 species